rnacentral:rRNA from 1 species
UACGGAGGGGGCUAGCGUUGUUCGGAAUUACUGGGCGUAAAGCGCACGUAGGCGGCUUUGCAAGUCAGAGGUGAAAGCCCGGGGCUCAACCCCGGAAUUGCCUUUGAGACUGCAUCGCUAGAAUUGUGGAGAGGUAAGUGGAAUUCCGAGUGUAGAGGUGAAAUUCGUAGAUAUUCGGAAGAACACCAGUGGCGAAGGCGACACACUGGCCCGUUACUGACGCUGAGGCGCGAAAGCGUGGGGAGCGAACAGG